GCAGCUAUAGUUUAGUGACAAAAUAUUUGCUUCCCAAGCAAAAGAUGGGGGUUUGAUUCCCCUUGGCUGCUCCA
rnacentral:tRNA from 2 species